GAAAUGCGAUAAGUAAUGCGAAUUGCAGAAUUUCCGUGAGUCAUCGAAUCUUUGAACGCACAUUGCGCCCAUUGGCAUUCCGAUGGGCAUGCCUGUUCGAGCGUCAUUAUCCUCCCUCAACCCCCCGGGGUUUGGUGUUGGACUCUGUUGUGCGGCUUCUGGCACAACUGGUCUGAAAGACAAUGACGGCGUCCGUGGGACCCUCGGUGCAACGAGCUUUUCGGAGCACGCGUCGAGUGGACAGUCUCUCCGGGCCGGUCUCCUUGUAUCAUUUUUUCUAGGUUGACCUCGGAUCAGGUAGGAAUACCCGCUGAACUUAA
rnacentral:misc_RNA from 1 species